rnacentral:rRNA from 1 species
GACGAACGCUGGCGGCGUGCUUAACACAUGCAAGUCGAACGGAAAGGCCCUGCUUUUGUGGGGUGCUCGAUUGGCGAACGGGUGAGUAACACGCGAGUAACCUGCCCUUGACUUUGGGAUAACUUCAGGAAACUGGGGCUAAUAUCGGAUAGGAGCUCCUGCUGCAUGGUGGGGGUUGGAAAGUGUCGGCGGUUGGGGAUGGACUCGCGGCUUAUCAGCUUGUUGGUGGGGUAGUGGCUUACCAAGGCUUUGACGGGUAGCCGGCCUGAGAGGGUUACCGGCCACAUUGGGACUGCGGUACGGCCCAGACUCCUACGGGAGGCAGCAGUGGGGAAUAUUGCACAAUGGGCGGAAGCCUGAUGCAGCAACGCCGCGUGCGGGAUGAUGGCCUUCGGGUUGUAAACCGCUUUCGCCUGUGACGAAGCGUGAGUGACGGUAAUGGGUAAAGAAGCAACGGCUAACUACGUG